UCUGGCACCUUCGGUGUCCGAGUUGUAAUUUGAAGAAGGUAACUUUGGAGUUGGCUCUUGUCUAUGUUCCUUGGAACAGGACGUCACAGAGGGUGAGAAUCCCGUGCGAUGAGAUGUCCAACUCUAUGUAAAGUGCUUUCGAAGAGUCGAGUUGUUUGGGAAUGCAGCUCUAAGUGGGUGGUAAAUUCCAUCUAAAGCUAAAUAUUGGCGAGAGACCGAUAGCGAACAAGUACAGUGAUGGAAAGAUGAAAAGAACUUUGAAAAGAGAGUGAAAAAGUACGUGAAAUUGUUGAAAGGGAAGGGUUUGAGAUCAGACUUGGUAUUUUGUAUGUCUUGCUUUCGGGUGGGGCCUCUGCAGUUUACUGGGCCAGCAUCGGUUUGGACGGUAGGAUAAUGACAUUGGAAUGUGGCACUACUUCGGUGGUGUGUUAUAGACUUUGUUGAUACUGCCUGUCUAGACCGAGGACUGCGUCUUUGACUAGGAUGCUGGCAUAAUGAUCCUAAACCGCCC
rnacentral:rRNA from 1 species